AUAUUUUUCUUCCGAUUUUUCAGAUAAUUUUGAUCGCAAUUUCACCCAAAGCUCCUGAAAAUUUCAGGGAUAAAUAUUCAUAGAUUUCUUCAAAAAUAAACAUAAUCGGGGAAGGAAAUUUGGCAACUCCCGAAUUUUCAUACGGCGUUUUUCCUUAGCACGGUAGAAUAGUGUACAUAAUGGUAAGACAGAAGGACGCAAAACGCAUAUGAAAUUGGAAUUGGAAGAACGACUUGGGAGACGGGAAACGAGAAGCUUCUGCAAAAAACCACCUGAGG
rnacentral:lncRNA from 1 species